CCCACUUCGGAGCCUGGAGCACAGGGCGAGCUCUCCUCCGCCCUGCAGCCUCAGGUAAGGAUCCGGACCUUCACUGCUGCCCCAACUGGGGCUCCUCAGCUCGGGGCCUCUAGGGGCUUGGGCUGCUGGUCUGGGUGGAGGCGCGUUGGGGGUGUCGAGGAGCUUGGGUGCAAGCCCCAUGCGGGAAGCUCAGGGCAAAGCGCCUUGAAACCCUCUCUAGUGAAGGAAGGUAAAAUGGCUCCGGGACCCCAGGCGGGGAAAGAGGUGUCCAAGGAGGAGGGCUGGAGAGUAAGGCGGGGAUGGCAGAGGGUACGCAGAGGCUGAGAAGUGGGACCAGUGUCUCAAGGGGCGCCAGCCUCUUCCUCCGCCCAACAUGGCCACCAUUUUUGUUGGGAUAGCCUUGGGCUCCUGCCAGGGGAACAGCAGGGCAGUGAGGGAGUCAGGACUUUGGGCUGGUGGGGAGGCCGAGAAUCAAGGCUCUGGGGAGUCAGGACUUUGGGGCUGGUGGAGUGGCUGGGGACUGAGGCCCUGGGGGGUCAGGACCUUGGGCUGCUAUGGAGGCUGGGACUGAGGCUCUGGGGGAGUCAGGACCUUGAGCUGGUGGGGAGGCUGGGAAUUGAGGCCCUGGUGUGUUCAAGACCUUGGGCUGGUGGGGAGGCCAGGGCCUGAGGCCCUGGGGGGUCAGGACCCUGGGCUGUUGGGGAGGCUGGGGACUUAGGCCCUGGGGGGUCAGGAUCUUGGGCUGGUGGGGAGGCUGAAGGGUGGGGACUGAGGCUCUGGGCAGUCAGGACCUCACGGUUGGGGUGGACUGGAGACCAAGACCUUGGCAGGGGAGCUGUGGCUGCCUCAUUUGGACGCUGGAGGGUGGCUAGCGUGGCUGGAAGCGGCCAGCCAGGGGUUCACAGAACUGAAGGUGAGGCCUCCAGAGGCCCUAGUCUCUACCUGAGUGUCUCUGAAACUGGGGGGAUGGGGUGGAGCCUUUAGGGGGAAGGGAAGAGGGAACUGAAGAGGAAGUGGGGGAGGGAGGUAGAGGAGGCAAGUCUGGCGCCAUGCUGAGUCACCGCCCACAAGGCCCAGGGCGGGCCCUCGGGGGGCCCUGGCAGGGUUGGGGGGAUCUUAGGAAGCCACAAGGAGGGCUGGGGGGCUCUUGGAGCAGGAGUCAGGAGGCCUGGGCAGCCUGAAGAGUACACGCCGACGGACAGACAGACAGUGCAGUCACCCAUAAAGUAGAAAGCACUACUAACAGCACUGGAGGGUGUAGUGUUUCCUACUUUAUGGAUGAGUGUACUGUGGGCUUCGGAGAUCACGCCACUGCUGCCGCCCGCUGCCCGCCACCAUCUUCCUCGGCGCUCGGGGACCUCGUGUGACAGGUGAGCACCUUACGGCCCCUCCCUACCCUGCCCAGAUGCCUGAAAGGCCUCCAUGGCUUUCCUGCCCUUCCUGGUUCCGGACAGCUGGGGAAAGGCCACAGCAGCUCCUCUGCUGCCCUGCAGUCUUUGGGGGCGGGGAGGGCUGGACAUGUGGAACCCUGAUGCAGCCGCAGCGUCAAGGACGAGGAAGGGGUGGGAAGGGAUGGUACGUGGAGGGGAAUGGGUGGUGGGACCAGGGACCCAAUGCUAAUAAAGACUGGACUGUGCUUCUCUUU
ensembl:lncRNA MIR142HG MIR142 host genes